GGGUGCAUAAAAUGGUUUAUUAGUGGCGUCUAUGUUGCUAUUUACUGAUUUUAGGGAACGUGAGGAGUGCAUUAAGUAGGUGUCUUGCAAAAUGGAGCAUGAGGUAUAGUCAGCAAAAUAUGACCUGCAGAAAUGUGAACAUGGUUGCAGUUUACAAUACAAAAUAGCAAAGAGAAAUCCUAAGGUUAAUGCGAUAGAUAUGAUAAAUAACCUAAAUAUAUAAGAAAGUAUAUAAGAAAAACAGUUCUUCAGUUGUCUCCUGGCCUGGUCCCAGGUUCGAGAGACAUUGAAUAAGCGUCGUAUGAUGACAAUGGGCAUUUCAUUUUCUCCAUUAUCAGGAUGAAAUGAGUCUGGCUUUAUCAGGUUAGACAUCAUGUGGUACUUUUGGCUUUCUGUUCCUGCUGGAUGUUUGAGUACCUUGUUGUUGUUCUUUCAGACGUUGUGUGUUAAUCAGUGAUUGCGUGUGUGCACUGGAUCCGGGCGCUGGCUCGCCUGAGAUGUCGUCUACCCGUGUGUUUAUUUGCUCUAGUUCCGGGCGCUGGCUCGCCGGAGAUGUCGUCUGCUUGAUCCGACGCCUGAGAUGGUCCGAUUGGGCUGGUCUUAACCCUGCUGGCAUGAAUCCACUGAGGUUGUCCGUCUGUGAGGAUGCUGGUUCUUCGUCACUGCCAGUAAAGCCUGGGGGCUGGAAAACGCGGCCUCCCAGAGUGUCCUUGGUUUUAGUGGCUUCUCCAACAUGCGUCUCCUUGUCUCCACUGGUGGAACUGUGGAGGGGAAAAGCUGAGAGAGACAAACUUUCUGAUAGUUAUUAUUCAGUUUUUCUACCAGGUUGUGAACAUCAGUGGACAAUGCAAUAUAGAUCACCUUCUACUAGCGGUGCCCCUCUGGAAGCUGACCAUGGUCUUGGAAAUAGUCUUAUUUCAAAUGGAAAUAAUUUGGUUACUUCAGAUUGAGUCAUUCUAAUCUCACACAGGACUUGAGUAAGUAAUUUGACACAGGUCAUUAAAGUUUUAGCACACUUUUGAAUUACUUCUAAUGUGAAUGAAGAUCCUCUAUCACUGUUAAUCUGGUGAGGUAUUCCGAAUCUGGGUAUUAUUUCAUUGCUCAACUUUUGACAGACUACUUCUGCAGUUUCUUUUGAGGUUGGAUAAGCUUCUACUCAUUUACUAAAUUGAUCCACUAUUACCAGUAAGUACUUGAUACUUCCUUGUGCUGGCAUAUGUGUAAAAUCAAUUUGUAAUGUAUGAAAUGGAAAAUCUGGUUGUGGUAAAUGCUGAUGUUUUGCUUUUGAGCUACCUACAUUAGUUCGCGCACAUGUUAGACAGGUUGCUAAUAUGCUUUUUACUGCAUGCAAUGUUUUCUCAAUUACAAAUCUUGAUUUUAUUGCCCCUAUUACCCCUCUUUGUCCGACAUGACUCACACAGUGAAAAUGUCGGGCAAGGACUGGCAUCAGGGAAUAUGGGAGGGCAAUCAAACCCUUAAGAUUUUGUAUAGGCCAUCUCUGUCAUCUAAGGUACAGUCAUUAUUCUAUGCAGAGGCUUGCUCUUGUAUAAAUUUUAAAUCAACAUUUGUGUCUAAAUAGUCUGGGAGUGUAACAAGUGGCAGCUGUAGGGGC
ensembl:lncRNA